UACGGAGGAUGCGAGCGUUAUCCGGAUUUAUUGGGUUUAAAGGGUGCGCAGGCGGAUUUUUAAGUCAGCGGUCAAAUCGUGGGGCUCAACCCCGAAACUGCCUCUAAUACUGUUGGACUAGAGAAUAGUUGCGGUAGGCGGAAUGUAUGGUGUAGCGGUGAAAUGCUUAGAGAUCAUACAGAACACCGAUUGCGAAGGCAGCUUACCAAACUAUAUCUGACGUUGAGGCACGAAAGCGUGGGUAGCAAACAGG
rnacentral:rRNA from 1 species